rnacentral:tRNA from 1 species
GGGCGGUUAGCUCAGUUGGUAGAGCGCUUCUCUUACAAGGAAGAGGUCACCCGUUCGAGCCGGGUACUGCCCACCA